rnacentral:rRNA from 1 species
AUACGGAGGGUGCAAACGUUGCUCGGAAUCAUUGGGCGUAAAGCACACGUAGGCGGCCAAGUAAGUUGGAUGUGAAAGCCCAGGGCUCAACCCUGGAAGUGCAUCCAAAACUGCAUGGCUUGAGUGCCGGAGGGGCUCAGAGUAUUCCCGGUGUAGAGGUGAAAUUCGUAGAUAUCGGGAGGAAUACCAGUGGCGAAGGCGCUGGGCUGGACGGUAACUGACGCUGAGGUGUGAAAGCGUGGGGAGCAAACAGGAUUAGAAACCCUAGUAGUCC